rnacentral:rRNA from 1 species
UUAAGCGACUAAGCGUACACGGUGGAUGCCCUGGCAGUCAGAGGCGAUGAAGGACGUGCUAAUCUGCGAUAAGCGUCGGUGAGGUGAUAUGAACCGUUAUAACCGGCGAUUUCCGAAUGGGGAAACCCAGUGUGUUUCGACACACUAUCAUUAACUGAAUCCAUAGGUUAAUGAGGCGAACCGGGGGAACUGAAACAUCUAAGUACCCCGAGGAAAAGAAAUCAACCGAGAUUCCCCCAGUAGCGGCGAGCGAACGGGGAGGAGCCCAGAGCCUGAAUCAGUGUGUGUGUUAGUGGAAGCGUCUGGAAAGGCGUGCGAUACAGGGUGACAGCCCCGUACACAAAAAUGCACAUAUUGUGAGCUCGAUGAGUAGGGCGGGACACGUGGUAUCCUGUCUGAAUAUGGGGGGACCAUCCUCCAAGGCUAAAUACUCCUGACUGACCGAUAGUGAACCAGUACCGUGAGGGAAAGGCGAAAAGAACCCCGGCGAGGGGAGUGAAAAAGAACCUGAAACCGUGUACGUACAAGCAGUGGGAGCCUCUUAAUGGGGUGACUGCGUACCUUUUGUAUAAUGGGUCAGCGACUUAUAUUCUGUAGCAAGGUUAACCGAAUAGGGGAGCCGAAGGGAAACCGAGUCUUAACUGGGCGUUAAGUUGCAGGGUAUAGACCCGAAACCCGGUGAUCUAGCCAUGGGCAGGUUGAAGGUUGGGUAACACUAACUGGAGGACCGAACCGACUAAUGUUGAAAAAUUAGCGGAUGACUUGUGGCUGGGGGUGAAAGGCCAAUCAAACCGGGAGAUAGCUGGUUCUCCCCGAAAGCUAUUUAGGUAGCGCCUCGUGAAUUCAUCUCCGGGGGUAGAGCACUGUUUCGGCAAGGGGGUCAUCCCGACUUACCAACCCGAUGCAAACUGCGAAUACCGGAGAAUGUUAUCACGGGAGACACACGGCGGGGGCUAACGUCCGUCGUGAAGAGGGAAACAACCCAGACCGCCAGCUAAGGUCCCAAAGUCAUGGUUAAGUGGGAAACGAUGUGGGAAGGCCCAGACAGCCAGGAUGUUGGCUUAGAAGCAGCCAUCAUUUAAAGAAAGCGUAAUAGCUCACUGGUCGAGUCGGCCUGCGCGGAAGAUGUAACGGGGCUAAACCAUGCACCGAAGCUGCGGCAGCGACACUAUGUGUUGUUGGGUAGGGGAGCGUUCUGUAAGCCUGUGAAGGUGGCCUGUGAGGGUUGCUGGAGGUAUCAGAAGUGCGAAUGCUGACAUAAGUAACGAUAAAGCGGGUGAAAAGCCCGCUCGCCGGAAGACCAAGGGUUCCUGUCCAACGUUAAUCGGGGCAGGGUGAGUCGACCCCUAAGGCGAGGCCGAAAGGCGUAGUCGAUGGGAAACAGGUUAAUAUUCCUGUACUUGGUGUUACUGCGAAGGGGGGACGGAGAAGGCUAUGUUGGCCGGGCGACGGUUGUCCCGGUUUAAGCGUGUAGGCUGGUUUUCCAGGCAAAUCCGGAAAACCAAGGCUGAGGCGUGAUGACGAAGCACUACGGUGCUGAAGCGACAAAUGCCCUGCUUCCAGGAAAAGCCUCUAAGCAUCAGGUAACAUCAAAUCGUACCCCAAACCGACACAGGUGGUCAGGUAGAGAAUACCAAGGCGCUUGAGAGAACUCGGGUGAAGGAACUAGGCAAAAUGGUGCCGUAACUUCGGGAGAAGGCACGCUGAUAUGUAGGUGAAGCGACUUGCUCGUGGAGCUGAAAUCAGUCGAAGAUACCAGCUGGCUGCAACUGUUUAUUAAAAACACAGCACUGUGCAAACACGAAAGUGGACGUAUACGGUGUGACGCCUGCCCGGUGCCGGAAGGUUAAUUGAUGGGGUUAGCGGUAACGCGAAGCUCUUGAUCGAAGCCCCGGUAAACGGCGGCCGUAACUAUAACGGUCCUAAGGUAGCGAAAUUCCUUGUCGGGUAAGUUCCGACCUGCACGAAUGGCGUAAUGAUGGCCAGGCUGUCUCCACCCGAGACUCAGUGAAAUUGAACUCG